GUGCCAGCAGCCGCGGUAAUACGGAGGGUGCAAGCAUUGAUCGGAAUUACUGGGUGUAAAGGGCGCGUAGGCGGCAGGAAAAGUCGGAUGUGAAAUUCCGGGGCUCAACCCCGGAGCUGCAUUUGAAACUAUCCAGCUAGAGGUUAGUAAGGGAAAACGGAAUUCCACGUGUAGCGGUGAAAUGCGUAGAUAUGUGGAAGAACACCGGUGGUGAAGACGGUUUUCUGUGCUAAACCUGACGCUGAGGCGCGAAAGCUAGGGGAGCAAACAGGAUUAGAUACCCCCGUAGUCC
rnacentral:rRNA from 1 species